AAAAGAGGAUCCCCUCCAGGGAUCCAUGGUCUCAUUGGGAUUUUCCUGUUUGGUCUGUGUCCUGUUCUUGAGUCUCCGCAGGCAGCAUUUCUUCCUGUGACAAUAUGGUGUAAGACAAAAUUGUGGCCUGCCAUGAAGUUGUGAGAGAAAAGCAUCCCUCAUUUCUUCAGGAAAGGCCACUGCCGUUCCCUCCGGCUCCUCUUCUCAGGAGUUUGUGCAUUCAUGAGGUGAAUUCCUUGGAAGAUGAGGGCCAAGUCUUAUUCUUCUCAGUCUCUUCUGCAUCUAGCAGAAGAAUAAUGGUUGCACAGAAAAUCUUGGUUCAGUGGUUGAGUGAAUGAAUGGAUGAACAGGCUCUUGCACACAAAGAAGAGACAUGAUGUAUUUGCAUCCUUCCCUGCUUCAGCCAGGUAAGAUCUACUAGCUCAAACUUAUCACAGCCCUGUUUCUGAGCUGGUCCCACGAAUAGAGUUUUUGUUUUUCACCAGCAAGCAGGCUGUUUCCAAGCUGGGAUGAUAAUUGUUGAUGUGGCACU
rnacentral:lncRNA from 10 species